UACGUAGGGACCGAGCGUUGUCCGGAAUUACUGGGCGUAAAGCGCGUGUAGGCGGUCUGAUAAGUCGGAUGUGAAAGCCCCGGGCUCAACCCGGGAAGUGCACUCGAUACUGUCAGGCUAGAGUAUCGGAGAGGUUGGUGGAAUUCUCGGUGUAGAGGUGAAAUUCGUAGAUAUCGAGAGGAACACCGGUGGCGAAGGCGGCCAACUGGACGAAUACUGACGCUGAGACUCGAAAGCGUGGGGAGCAAACAGG
rnacentral:rRNA from 1 species